CCCCUCGGUCUCCCCCCUCCCUGGGUGCGUGUGUGCGUACCCCUCCCGGUGGCUGACCCCAAGCCAGGGCUGACCCUUGGGAAGGAGGGGAUCUAGAGAGGGGACAGCCCCAUUCCGCAGCCAGGUGUGCUGCAAUCCGGGCGGGUUGGGUCCCUUCUCCUUAACCCCCGCCUCGCCCGCCGCCGCCGGCGCUCCCCGGAGCCCCGCUCCCCCCGCUCAGCCUCCGCUGCUCAGCCUCCGCUGUACCGCGCUGCCUGCCGCCUUCCUCCCCCCACCGCCCAGCCGCGAUGCAGCAGCGGGGAUGGAGUUGUAGUGGUGCUGGGCGGAGGGGGUGAGAGAUUGGCUAUAAGGAGAAGGCUGACGGCUGCAGCAUGAAGCGCAUUAUUACCUUGUGAUUCCAUGACCCUCCUCUAUGCAUCCCUAACUCUCGAAAGCUGAUUCAGCUUUCAGCUAGUGCUCUGGUGAGUCCUCUGCUGCAACAGAAGCUCCUAACUGCAAAGUUCCUCAUCACAGAACUCCAUGAAAAUCCUUCUCAGCCCCCAGGCAGAGCGGGUGCCUGUGUUCAGCAUGGAGGGAUACGGCUGUCACCGUGCCAGGUGUGACGUGGGGCUGCAUCAGAUCGAUGGCACAGUCACGGGAGAACUCACUAGUGAUGCCAGGUUUAUUUUGGUAAGUGCAAACUAAUGAAAUUUAGAGGUUUAAUAAAAAGAAUAGCAACUAUCCUUUAGAAACAAAAAGCAAAGCGUGCCAAUCACAUUUCAGAAAUGAGAGGGUUGGGCUGUUUCCCAGAAGAGUCCGUGAGUUUUUUGACCACGGUUUGCUCCAGUGAUGCUUGCAGCUUUUCACCAGGGACCGGGGCUGUGAGCAUUGCUCCACUUCUGUGCCCAUCUGUCCUGCAUGUGCACAGGGAAAAAGCACUGCACAGGGCUGCAGUGAUGCUCACCAUGCACUGAGUUGCUACCAGGGACCGUUUAUCCCUUUCCCAUCAUCUGAGUGCUGAGCUGAGAUGGGAAUUCAUUUGUCGUGUUCUGAAUUAUAAAAGGUGGCAAAGAAAUGGUUGUAAAGGCAGCGAAAGGGAAGGAGAUGUAACUGCAAGCCCAGAGCAGAGGCAUCCCAGCAAAUGAAGGUGAGGACCCAGGAGGAGCGCUGUUCACAGGAAAAGACAACCUUGAACAUCUCCUAACAGGAAGGAUGCAUAAUUUAGAGCAACCUGGAGGCAUUUUGUAGCACGUUUAUUUUACAGCCUUAUGCUUCCUUCUCUUGUACUUCUUCACUUGCAGAUAUGCACCUAAAUGUUCUGUUGGAUGAAAGGAGAUGCAGGGGGUUAUUUUGAAGAGGGGGUGAUGGGCACAUCCCACCACUGAGCCCAGUGAGGGCUAGACCUGCAGAACUGCUUUGCUUUGAUUUUGCUCUAAAGCAGCUCUUCUCUGCCCAUUCUGCAUUAAAAUGCAUCAGAUAUAAAUAAAAUCACCCAGACAGGAGAGUUCUUAAAGUCUCUGUUCCGCCCUUGGAGGCAAACAGUUCAGGACCCGCAAGAGCAAGAAUGGUUGGAUUUUCUGAGGGAUAUUUUUGUGUGUUUUGUUGUUGUUGUUCACAAAAGCGGAAGAUGAGCAGGUGAAAAGAAACCUUCAAACCUCAAACCACAGUGAAGCUGUAAGCCUGCAGGCUAGCUUGUGCAGGUGCCCUAAGCAUAGGUCUGCCUCUCUGUUGGCUUUGCCCCCAAAUCCGCGGGGUUUGCAAAAUCCCAGAAAAUCCCCCAUAGGCGUGAAAGCAAGAGAGCACAAUCCAGAUGGUUUUUCCUUGUGGCUCUGGGUGCCUGGGGAGCGGUUGCUGUAGGGCAGAGCUGGGGAAUUGGCUGCCAAAAGAAUUUGGGAGAUCAGACACUGUUGCACAAUGGAGUUUUGAAUCAUUCUACAUCCAUGAUGACCCCAAAAUCAUAGAAUCGUGGGGUUUGGAAGAGGUCACUAAGAUCAUCUAGUCCAACCAUCAGCUCAUCGCCACCAAAACUUGUCAGUGCUGUGAUCAGCAGAGGUUUUCCCUUCUGCUGUGGUGCUCCUGAGGGCUCUGUGGGCUGUAGCUUUUCUGUUGGGAGGGAUGCUUGGACUGGGUUGGAGAAACAGGCACUGGAAAGCAGUGAGGAAACAGAAUUCAUUCCACACCCGUCCCCGUCUCUGGCUCAAGGAAGAAAAUGAUGAGGAGAGAGCUAAUGAACACACGAAAGGAUGCGAGAAGAACUUUAAUUGCCUGUACGGCAGCGCAGGAGGGCUGAGCCAUAAAAAAGAGUGGGAACGACUAAUUUAUGAGUACAAAUUCUAUCUGGAGAGCAUGACUUAAACUUGGGGAGAAAAUCCAUGUGCCUGGAAUAUUAAAAUCAAUAGUUGGAACCUAUCUGCAAAAAAAAAACCCAAAAAACUGACUGGGCAAAGAAGGUGUAGGAGGGACAAUCAAUAUCAGAAGUGACGUUGCUGCCAUCCAAGUCACUAGGAGCUCAAGAGAAAGUGACCUGAAGUAAAUGGAUGACACUGCUCAAAUCUCACCAGAAACCAGAAAUAUUAAAGAAAAAUUCCUAUACAUUGUCCUGGAAAACCUGAACUGGAAUGAUGUGAAUUGGAGGGCUUGUGUUGCCAAUUUUGGGAAUUUAUAGAAGUCGUUGUUAACCAAAAUCAGGAAGAUUCUCUGCAGGAUGGUCUUGACAGCUGAAGAGCUGAUCGCAGCUCUAAAAACCACUUACAGCCAACAUAGAGGGGAUGCCAUUUCCAUCUCAUGUGCAGGGCUUAGACAGAACAAAGCCUGAGCUGAUAGCAGACACUUUUCAACACUGUAAGCCAGGUCACUUGUAGCAUUUUGAAGAGAAAAUGUGUGUGAUAUUUGGCAACUCGUUGUUUAAAAGCACUCUGGCUUUUAGGGCAUCUAAUGAAAUCUCAGAGCUCAGAGAGAGAAGGUUAUUCUGGUUAAAGCAGCGACUCGGAGGGGAGGAAGGGGAGGUCUACAUUCACACAAAGGGAAAAUGUGUUAACCAACAGCAAGCAGAAGGCCGGCAGGUGAGACCUCUGCUAGCAGAGCCGAGAGGAGCAGGGAUGUGGUUUUUAGAUAUCAGUGGCUGAGUGCAGUUGUCUAGACAGAAUAGUGGACGAUGAAAAGGAAAUACAUAAAAGGCAGACACUAAACAUUUCAUUCCUCUAAUUUCGGGGGAAAAGCUAAGUAAAUUAGCAAUGUCACAGAGCUAUGAGAAAUAUCUCCAGCUCCAACUCGUGCCCCAAACUCCAAGAGUGCAGCACACCCGAGUGCUGCUGACUUUGUGCCAGCGCAGGAACGUCGCUCGUAAUUAUAAAUCUGAUUAUCUGAUGUUGAUUUUGUGAGAAAUAAUGGAAGAGCUGAUAAGGGACUUGAUUAAUAACAAUUUAAGGAGAAUAAUUAAUUACAAUCAACAUGAGUUAAUGGAAAAUAUAUCUUAUUAAACGAAAUUGAUAUAAUUUUUCAAGAAUGUGAUUAUAGAUUUGAUUGAUUUAGUACAUUUCAUCAGCGCUGUUACGUUUGACUUCUGCAAGGCGUUUGACUUAAUGUUGUCUCAUUUAUUAGGAAGCUAAAACAAUGUAAAAUCAACACGGCAGGCACUAAACGGAUGAAAACCCCACCGAUAUGUUUAAAUGUACGGCUGCAUGCAGACACUCAUCACAAGUGGCUGUGUUUCAGUUCAUCACUUUUAGCAAAAUGGUAGAAAAUCAAAACUAAUUACAAUCAAAGCUUGCUGAUGAGUUCAAUUUGGAUCAUGGUGGGGCUGGGGAUCAGUGUCCUCCUGAGCCAGAUAGAAGCAAAAUCCAUCCAGUUCAACACACGCGCAUACAAAUCCACACUUGGGAACUGGAAUUUCAUGGCAUCUGGGGGGAGGAGAGAUCCUAUAGCACAACACUGGAAGCUCAAACAAAUAGCAAAGUGUUACUGGUGUAACAUCUGCUGGGACCCUGCAGCUAUUUCUGGUGCCUGCAACUGGAGAAGGAUGUUGAUGAAUGGGAGAGGGCUCCAAGGAGGCACACAAGAAUGACUGAAGCGUUGCAAGACAUGCCUUAUAGUGACAGAUUCAAGGACCCCAAUGCGCUUAGCUUAACAAAGAGGAGGUUAAGGGAUGGUUUAAUGACAAUCCAGAUGUGCUCAGACAGACAGAAAUGGAAAGCUCUUCAAUCGAGCAGACAGAGCGAUAAAAAGAGCCGGUGACUGCAAGCUGACACUGCGAAAUUCAGUGGACAGGAGCUGGGACAAGUGCACUUCUUAAAUGGACAGAAUUACCAUCAGAACAACUUCCCAACAAGUAUUUUCGCCAUCUUUCACCAUUUCAAAUUCACAGAGGAUUUAUUUUCGUUUUGGUUUUGUGUAUAUCUCAGAUCCACCAAAGAUCACUCUUUAAAUGAACACUCAGAGACCCUCAAAGCCUUAAUAGGAUUCUCCUUCCUUGAUUUCUUAACGGCCUUAAUUAUGAGUACUUAAGACAUCACCCCUGAGCACUGAGUGAGACGACUCCCUCCUUUCAGACUGUGAUGAACCUCAGUGGUGACUCUCACAGACCCCUCAGCUUUGCAGAGGAAUGGCUGUGUGGUUCAGGAGCUGCUGGAAUUUCUCCUUUCAUGGAAAUUCCUCACAAAAGCCCUUGGUGCAGACACCUCUUGGGCAUCUCCAGAACUACCCGUUGGCUUCUCCUGGGGCUGGUUUGCAAGCCCUGAUGACAUCUUACAGUGCAGCUGGGAACAAACAGGUAUAUUUUAUUAAUACUAUUAUUAUUAAUGUAAUAUUAAUUUGGGCACUAAGACAUUAUUUCUGGGUUUUCAGGCUCUGAAAAUAGCAUGAGGGGAGAAUUUUCCUUCCAAAGAAAUGUGAUAGGAGAAAGAGGUCAAGUAAGAACUGAUACCCAAAAGCAAGAAAAUAAAAAUUGUUUUAUAACCUACUUAUAUAAAAGGGACUUUAUCUUCUCAUAAUGUCUUUACCUUUAAAAGCAGGCCUUUACCUUAUAUAAAGGAUAUAAAAGAGAUAUAAUUUGUUAUCUUAACCUGUAAUGAGAUCAGCAAAGAUUUUAAGCUCCCACUCACUGUUUCACUGUAGUUCAUUAAUACCUAAACCCAUCCCACUGUACGUAUAAGGCCUCAACUCUGCAGCUUGGAGGCUCUGCUUCAUCCCCCUACUGACAUCAUGGAGCAAACAUGCAAGAGUCCUCUGCUCCAAGCACUACUGAAUCCAGCUCUGUGUUGGCCAGCAUUGAUUUCAGGGUUGGGUCCAGUAACCAUGCAGAUGCUUUUGAACUGGACAACAACUCAGCGUUUAUAUUUUAUCUGAAGAAGCCUGAACCAGCAGAAAUGGUUUUAAAGCUAGGGCAACAUCAUUAUUAUACAGAUAAACAUUACUUUAAUGUGGUUCACCAUAACAACGGACCAUUUAUUAAAACACUUCACCAUUUAAUUUAUCCAGCGUUUUAUAUUGAAGAGUAUUUUCAUUAGGAUUCCACUGCAAAACUAGAGAAGGCAUUAAAUCAUUUAAUAUACUGACAGCUCACUUAAUUUAUUUAAGCAGGGGACUCUAAUUUAAAAAAGCAGACCUUAUACAGUGCCCUAUCUUUUCAGUUCUGGCAUGCAAGGUCCUAUUAAUUUCAGGGUAGGGUGUUACAUUAAAUCAACUUGAGAUCCCACCGUGUGCUUUCCUUUGGUCAGCAGCCCUCUAUAUUGCUGCACUGCCAGAGCUGCCUGCAGGAACAUCUCUUGAUGCACGACAGCCUUGCUCCAUGCCUCUUGCUGCUGCUAAUGCCCGUGAGCAUCUCACCUUUUGCAGCCCAUGGUUGAGGGAUCAGCAGGGAAGAAGAAAGCCCUGAGAUUCUUGGUGAAGUCUUCCAUUUAACUGCUGUUAAUUGGGAUUUAGAAAUGCCUCUUGGCUUCGGAGCACUUGGUGAAGCCUGGGAGAAUCACUGAAACUUACUCCUAUCUCAGUUUGCACUGACUUAGCAAGAAAUGUGCAAUUAUCACAGAGUCAUGGAAUGUUUUGCGUUGGAAGGGAUCAGCCCAUGCGGCAAACUGCUGUUGUUCCCACAUUUGUCAUAAUAAAAGGAGGAGAAGAAUACUGUUACCUGUGCCAAAGCCCUGGGUGACUCUGGGGUGCCUGAUGGCCACUGGUUUCACUGCUGUCCAAGACCAGUUCUGAAGCAGACCCUUGGAAACAACAGCAGAUUAUCAAUAGCAUGUGGGACAUUAUUAAUAAACACUAGGGAGCUUGAUAUGAUCUGGCAAAAGCAGCACAAUGAAAACAGGUACCAAAAGAAGGAUGGAGAGAAAAGGAAGUGAUCUGAACAGGGUGUUUAAUGACUCACCAGGCUGCGAAGCGCAGUGGAGAGCAGGGAUGGAAUAGAAAACAUUUUAAUGAAUUCAGCAUGCGCACCCUUAGAAGGCUCAGCUCCCCAUUCCCCAGCAAUAUUUGACCCACCCGAAGAUACUGAUCACACCGAAAAUAAUAACCAGUAAGUAAUAAUAAUAGUAAUAAUAGGAAGAGCAAGACCCUCAUCUCCAAUUCAUAUUUAUAAUCCAGCAAAUAUCUCACCUAAAUCCGGAAGAUUUAUGGGUUUGCAUCUAUAAUUAAUAUCCCUCCUUAAGCAAGAAAGGGUAUAUUUUCAUAAAAAUAAAUCUGGUGCUCUAGACUGGAUUUGGAAAACUAAUAUUUAAAUCCCCAGCAAGAGAUGGUUAUUGAUCGCAUAUAUGUGUCUACAACAGAGACACACCAUGCACAUAUAGAGAGCAAGAAAAUUGCAUAUUUAUGUUUAGAAUAAAUAGAUAAAAUUUCUAUUUUAAAUGCAAUAGAUGAAAUUUAAGCAGGAAAAAGGAGGAAGAUGGGCAGCUCCGAACUGCCCGUUUCCCAAAGAUUCAAUUUGCAUUAGGCCUGCUGCUAACGGCGGGGCUGCAGUGGGCGCCAAGACGCAUAAAGGACCUCGAGACAAAGCCAUCGAUCUUGUUUUAGCUUUAUGAGCAGAAUAAACAGUUGGGCUGAUAUAACAGCAGAAGGGUCAAGCAGAGCCAGGACUGAUGAAGUGACUCACAGGAGCUCAACAUUUAAAAAGCCUUCCUGUUCUCCAUCCUCCCUUCUGGGGUACCUGCAUCUCCCCUAAAUCCCACAGAUGAGUAACAGCAGAGCACCAGCUGAACUUGGAGCUUGGUCGAUGCCUCAGCAUGCCCUGAGCAAUGGGAAAGGCCUGGCCAAGGCAAGCUCUGCCUCAGCUCAACAGAACCUUGCAGGCAGCUGUAUAGGUUGCACCAGGGAAGGGACAGACUGGAUAUUAUGACAAAUUUCCUCUCAGAAAGAUUAGUGAUGCAGUGGCACAGCUGCCCAGGGGGGUGGUAGGGUCACUGUCCCUGGAGGUGUUCUGGAACAUGGAGAUGUGGCACUGAGGGACGUGGGCACUGGGCACGGCGGGGCGGGCUGGGGUUGGACUUAGGGAUCUCAGAGAUCUCUUCCAAUCUCAAUGGUGCUAUGACUCAUGAUUCUACGAUUUAGGGGUCACCUCACUUCCUGCACAUCCAAAUUUCAUUUUUUUUCUUCUGUUCUUUUUACCUCCUCAGGUUUCUUUUCACUUCCCAGAGCUGCAGCUAGCAGAAUGGGAAUGUGCCAGGUGAGCAGUUGAAGCACAACUAGAAAAGAACAACUCCUCUGGUGCAAGCAUGGAUUUAGAUGAAAAGUACUGAAUUACUGGAAAUCUAAAUGUAGGCACUGUUUCAAGGUCAGGAGACUGAGCGUCACCUCACUCAGUGGUGCAUUUUCCAACAGAGGUAAAGCACUUCUGCUGUCCUGGAUCCAAAGUAAAGUUAUGAGCAGAGCCCAGACGCUUGUAUUUAUGUUGUCCUAAGCUGUAUAAUGACUCUAUUUCACAGAAAUUUUAAUUAUUCAUGGUUAAAUACUAUGCAUCCAAAAAAAAAAUCCCUUAUGCAGGCAGUUGUUGAAGGAGUUGGUGAGGGACUGUGUGCCUCACAGCAUGGGAGUGAGCACAGAGGGAGCUUCUUUCCCCCAAAUGAUAGACUUUGAGAAGUGCUAUGGCACUGGCAGAAGGAAGGAAAAAAAUGCCAUAGAGGAUGUGGGUGCCUUGCCCCUCUAGCCUGCAGCCAUGAGAUGUGGAAUACAUCCAGGAUCACAUCUCUGGAAGGUUAAAUGCAGACAGCACAUGGGCUCGGGAAGCUGCAGGCAGCGUGGGGUAUUAGCCAAGGCACAGCUUUGCUGCAACCUCGUUUUUAUGAUUUAACAUUACUGCUGUAAAUAAUUGAUACUAAUGUAAGUGAGAUAAGAGACAGACUGUCUGUGGGCCAAGAGGAAGUGGAUCCUGGUGACAUCCACCCAAAAAUGUGCUUGCAGAUUUGGCUGAAGUGAAAGCUCUGAAAAGCCAAACACCUGAUCUGAGAGGCAGGGAAGGGAAGAGGGAUAGGAAAGGCAAGCUAGAUCAACUCAUAGGACUCCCAUUUUUCUAACGAAUGCUCCCUGUAUCAGUUCCUUCAACAAGCGAACAUCAGCAUCACCUAUCGCUGGUUAGUCUGCCAAAGUUUGCUCUUGCAUUUGUCCUUAAGACAUGUUCAUGCAUUGUCAGACGUUGUGAACCUGGGUGGAUAUGGGCGUGAUUUAAAGAACCAGCAUUUUGUAAGAAGGUUCAAAUGCAUCCCUCCUCAUCAGAGACAAGAGAACCCCAGAGUGCUCGAUAUACCUUAUGCCUUUGGCUGUGGUCAUCUACAAAUCAGCUGAGCACCAGGUAGGAGAUAUCCAGCAUCUCAGUCUUUGGAACUGGAGAUGGAUAAUUACCCAUUUGGUUCAGUGAGGAAAGAUAUGAGCCAGGCAAUGGAUUCAGCACUACGGAAACCCACCUGAGCGUGGGACGAAUGGGCCAUGAUGGGGCUGGAGUUGGGGAUAUCCCUGCUGGGAGCCUCCUGGGGACGUUGAACUGCAGUGGGCUCUAAAUCCCAGUGUUGAUGCUGCUCUUGGCAUUUCCCAUCCCCUGAGCAGCCAGCAUGAUGUCACACCGGCUUUGAUCCUGCCUAGCACAUAGAAAAAGAGAUAAUGCUGUCUGAAAAAAAAAAAAAAAAAAAGGAAAAUGGUGUGGAGCCAUCCUUAAAGCUCCCUGCUAAACUUUCUGCUGCAUCACCACCUUCACACAACCCCUGUGUUUCUCCCCAGCUCAAGGACCUUCCCUUACCCUCGGUGUAAGGUAAGCGUGCCUAAUGGCUUUAAAUUGCAGGAGGAUGCCACAAAGGAUUGCAAGAAAUCUGCAGAGCCCAUUCCUUCAUUGUGAAUGAUUUCCUUGUAGAGGCAGCAGGUCACUCUUAGGGCAGGUAGGUUUGUCGCAUGUGCGUCCCUAAGGCCAUGACUACACAUUACUCUGGUGCACAGAUAUGCAGAGCUCUGACGUUGUGUUGUUUUUUUUUCUAAAUACCUCUUAGCCAAGUGAUUUGAGCCAGAAAGCUGGAGGAAAAUUGCCAUUUGGAAAAUGCAUAGAAAGAGCAGCAUUCACUCAUGAGUGACACAGCUGGAGACAGCUAGCGAGACUUUCUCAUCUCUAACAUGACUUUAUGAUUCAGUGAAUAAUGCAUAUUAGCAUAAUACUAACUAAAAAAAUCCAUACUCAUCAUUUACUAUUAAUUAGUUAUCAACAUUAUCCUAUUAUUAAUUAUUAACAUUUACACUAUCUAUCAGCCCCCAGCUGACUGAUAGCUUAAAAUCUUGCAUAAAGAUUGUUACAACAAUGCUACAUUGCAUCCCAUAACGUACUUUGCAGUCAGCUUGUCAUAUCCCCAUCUAUAAAGCUUUUUACUAAUGCACUUUACAACAGAUCUUAUAGUACACGGAUGAGGAAUGUGGCUGCACCCAGCAAUAAUUCCAUUAAUUAUGAAUAAAGCAUUUACAAAUGACAUCCUUAUUUACAAACAGUGAUGAACUCAUUUUGUUUUAACGUGGAAGUGCUGUGUUAUCUGUAAUUCUGUAAAAAGCAGUGCUGGCAGCAUGGGACAGGGAGAGGGGCCCAGAGCUCAUCUUUACAUCAUAAAGGAAAGAAAUAAAAUAAAAUGAACAGAAAGAAAUCAUUGACAAACAACAAAACUUUGGGAUAAAGCUGACCAAACUCCAACCUGAUGGGUGGAAGGGAUGUUUUAAGGUGCCGUGAAGAGCUAGAAGGCAUUAUUCAGUGACCUUGCAUUGUGAUUGUGUCAAUAAAACUCUCUCCGCGUUACCAGCAAGGCUGUUUCCAUGCUUUCUCUCACUUGUGAUGUUUUCAGCUGGCUGGCAGCUCCCCAACACUCGUUAGCUGCAUAGGGUUUGUCUUUGCAGCAUCUCGGUACUGUUUGGUCCUAAAGGCUUCCUGAGAUGGCAGAAUAUUUAUUGCAUCCCAUAUUUCACCGGGGAUACUUACGUCAAGAGGCUAUAAAUACGUUACUCUUCCGAGUUUACAUAAGGGAUACAAAGUGAGUAGCCAAGUUUACAGUCUGGGCUCUGUUAGCGUGGGGUCUGUUCUUCCUCAUAUCCAUCUCUGUUGUUUGAAAUAAUUUGCCAGAUUAAUGCUGGGAGAGAUUUUUGACUCACUGGUCGCUCCUGAGCGCAGCAGUCAUGUUCAGGUUAUUCCACGUA